AUCCAACUAACCAGUCCCAAAUAGGACAAAACAUAAGUCUUGGAU
rnacentral:hammerhead_ribozyme from 1 species